AUGGCGGCGGCGGGCGCGGAGCUGCCGGGGCCCGGCGCGCUCGCCCUGCUCGAGCUGGCGCCCGGCGCGCCCUGCUGCCCUCACGGUCCUGCGCUUCUGUUUGUGAAGACCAGCCAAGGAAAAGAGGAAGGAAGAAGAUUCUAUGCUUGUUCGGCUUGUAGGGAUAGAAAGGAUUGUAACUUUUUCCAGUGGGAAGAUGAGAAGGUGUCAGAAGCUAGGCUUGCAGCACGUGAAGAAUAUAAUAGAAGUCAUCAGCCUUGUUUUACACACAGACAGAACGUGGACAGGUACAAGAAUUUUGUUCUGUUGCCGUUAUCAAAGAGGAGGUUUUGCCAGGAAUGCCAGCAAUUGCUAUUGCCAGCAGAAUGGAAGAAACACUCAGAUCACCAGGUCCUGUGUGAUAUCACCACUGCCCAGCUGAAAAGUCCAAGUCAGCUUCUGUAUCCACUGGAGAAUAAAAAAACAAAUGCACAGUAUUUAUUUGCAGACAGAAGUUGCCAGUUCCUACUGAAUCUCCUUACAGAUUUAGGAUUCAGACGAGUGCUCUCUGUUGGAACACCCAGGCUUCAUGAAAUGAUCCAGUCAAAAGCGUCACAAGAAGAAGAAUUUAAUGUUCGAAGCCUUCUGCUAGAUAUUGAUUUCAGGUAUUCACAAUUUUACACAGAGGAUGAAUUUUGCCACUACAACAUGUUCAAUCAUCAUUUUUUUGGCGGAGAGGCUGCACGUGAAACUUGCAGGAAAUUCUUGUGUGAAGAGAAUGGUGAAAGAGUCAUUAUGGUAACUGAUCCCCCAUUUGGAGGUUUAGUGGAAGCACUGGCUUCUAGCUUUAAAAAGCUGAUGGCAAUGUGGAGGGGGACAGAAAAAGGAGGUUUUUCAUUACUAGGUCAUGACAACAGAGAGAUGCCCAUGUUCUGGAUAUUCCCAUACUUCUUUGAGUCUCGUAUUCUUGACUUUUUCCCAAGCUUCAGUAUGAUGGAUUACCAGGUAGACUAUGAUAAUCAUGCACUGUAUAAACAUGGCAAGACAGGCCGUAGGCAGUCUCCUGUCCGUAUCUUCACGAACCUUACCCCAAGUGUGAUUGUGCUUCCUGAAGAAGAGGGAUAUAGAUUUUGCACUGUAUGUCAGCGAUAUGUUAGUUCUGGUAACCAGCACUGUGAGAUAUGCAAUUCAUGUACAUCAAAAGAUGGCAGACGAUGGAAACAUUGUGUUCUUUGCAAAAAAUGUGUAAAGCCCUCUUGGUUUCACUGUGACAAUUGCAAGUGCUGCACUCUUGAGAAGCACAGCUGUGGGAAGAGUGACAGUGGCUGUUUCGUUUGUGGCAAGGCCGGUCACAAGCGCAGCGCCUGUCCCAGUCUGUCCCGCAGCAGAGCAGCUGGGCAGUAAGUGGGAUACUGCAUUCAUACACUCAAAUGCAGCAUUCAGAUGGGAUGAGAUCUUAUGCCAGGGAAUCAAUUCACAAAGAGAUGAUUUUCCACUUUAGGUGCUGAUGUCAGCUUUCCCUGUAGCCCACUUGCUGCACUGCUGGGGAGUAUGUAGUGAAGGGAGGGUGGGAUAAAAGGCAGGUCACUUACUGGGGCUCCCAACUCCCUGUCUCUGGGUUUUCUUUCAAAAUUGAUUUAUACGGAUUGCAGAGUUCUGUCAAGAUGACUGAAAAUUGAAGUAAUGGAACACUUUUAUUCCCUUUGAAUUCCUCAUGAAAAGGCAGAGAAAAGAGUCACUAAGAGUCACUAGUUACUGCUUCCUGUCUCUUUUGCUUUGUUUCAGCACAUUUUGCUUUUUUUCCUUCUGGUAUUUCAGGUGCUUUUUGUAGUAUGAUCUAAAUCUCCACCAUUAAUGAGGAUCACAUGGAGUACUUUUAUUCUUCCAUGAUUUUCCUUUUGUUACAUACAGAACAGCACUGUGCACAUACCUGUAUGUAUCAGAGAGCCAAGUAAAUGACCUGACAAAAAGAAAGGGCAGAAAACUCGAAAGAGAAUAAAAAUGAGGAUCUGUAAAAGAUUAGCUAUGAAACAUGCCAUAUUCUCCA